rnacentral:rRNA from 1 species
CCUACGGGAGGCAGCAGUGGGGAAUUUUGGACAAUGGGCGAAAGCCUGAUCCAGCAAUGCCGCGUGAGUGAAGAAGGCCUUCGGGUUGUAAAGCUCUUUUGUCAGGGAAGAAACGGUGGGAGCUAAUAUCUCUUGCUAAUGACGGUACCUGAAGAAUAAGCACCGGCUAACUACGUGCCAGCAGCCGCGGUAAUACGUAGGGUGCAAGCGUUAAUCGGAAUUACUGGGCGUAAAGCGUGCGCAGGCGGUUUUGUAAGUCUGAUGUGAAAUCCCCGGGCUCAACCUGGGAAUUGCAUUGGAGACUGCAAGGCUAGAAUCUGGCAGAGGGGGGUAGAAUUCCACGUGUAGCAGUGAAAUGCGUAGAUAUGUGGAGGAACACCGAUGGCGAAGGCAGCCCCCUGGGUCAAGAUUGACGCUCAUGCACGAAAGCGUGGGGAGCAAACAGGAUUAGAUACCCUGGUAGUCCACGCCCUAAACGAUGUCUACUAGUUGUCGGGUUCUUAAUUGACUUGGUAACGCAGCUAACGCGUGAAGUAGACCGCCGUGGGGAGGUACGGUCGCGAGAGUUAAACGUUAAAGUUAGAGUUAGAGGCGUGAGACGUGCGACGGACGACGACGAGGGGAGGAGG